CAGUCGCCGCGGGAAUACGAAGGGUGCAAGCGUUAAUCGGAAUUACUGGGCGUAAAGCGUGCGUAGGCGGUUUGUUAAGUCUGCUGUGAAAUCCCCGGGCUCAACCUGGGAAUGGCAGUGGAUACUGGCAAGCUAGAGUGUGUCAGAGGAUGGUGGAAUUCCCGGUGUAGCGGUGAAAUGCGUAGAGAUCGGGAGGAACAUCAGUGGCGAAGGCGGCCAUCUGGGACAACACUGACGCUGAGACACGAAAGCGUGGGGAGCAAACAGGAUUAGAUACCCCAGUAGUCCCUGUCUCUUAUAA
rnacentral:rRNA from 1 species